rnacentral:lncRNA from 1 species
AUUAAAUAGCUCCAGAUGCUGAGUGAAAAGGAUAUUUUAAAUCAGAAAGACACUUUUCUGCAUUGGGCCACAUGAACCCCAAAACCAGGCUUGGCCAGGAAGAUGUGGAGCUUCUGUCCUUUUAAAAUCACCCGGGUAGAGAAAGAGACAACAUGGGCGUUACGGAGGCUUCAGGCUCCCUGGCGAGAGGCACAGAAGGAAGCCCUGUCGGGUCAGGUCAAGCUGGGAGUGCACUCUGUGUGCGUGCCUACCAACAAAGCCCCAAAUACCUGGGAUCGCCCAACGACAGGUCCAAAGAAGAGUUUGUUUUUAAAACUGUAAGGAUACCUUCGUCUUGGUCCUCACUGAGAGGAGAAAUUGCUGCUAUCUUUGAAGAACUAUCAUUCCAAAGAAAAUCUGGAGUUAGAAAAUUGAAGACCUAAAAUCCAGAAGAAACAUAAAAAUC